rnacentral:rRNA from 1 species
ACGGGGUGCAGCAGGCGCGAAACCUCCUCAAUGCACUAACGUGCGAAGGGGUUACCUCGAGUGCCACCUGAAGAAGGUGGCUUUUCCUUGGUCUAAAAAGCCUCGGGAAUAAGAGGGGGGCAAGACUGGUGUCAGCCGCCGCGGUAACACCAGCCCCUCGAGUGGUGGGGAUGAUUAUUUGGCCUAAAGCGUCCGUAGCCGGCCGUAUAAGUUUCCCGUUAAAUCCAACGUCUCAAGCGUUGGACUGCGGGAAAUACUGUACGGCUAGAGAGUGGGAGAGGUCAGCGGUAUUCUGGGGGUAGGGGCGAAAUCCUUUGAUCCCCGGAGGACCACCAGUGGCGAAGGCUGCUGACUAGAACACGUCUGACGGUCAGGGACGAAAGCUGGGGUAGCGAACCGGAUUAGAUACCCGGGUAGUCCCAGCCGUAAACGAUGCAUGCUAGGUGUUGGGUUGGCCACGAGCCACCCCAGUGCCGCAGGGAAGCCGUUAAGCAUGCCGCCUGGGAAGUACGAUCGCAAGAUUGAAACUUAAAGGAAUUGGCGGGGGAGCAC